CAUGUCCUUUUGAUAAUUAUUUAAGGUCUAAUCUGCUCAAUGAAUAAUUUAAAUUGCCCCAGUAUAUUAACUGUGCAAAGGUAGCAUAAUAAUUAGUUUUUUUAUUGAAAGCUGGAAUGAAUGAUUGGCCAAGAAAACUACUGUUUCUUAUUAAUUUAUUUUUGAAAUUAAUUUUUAAGUUAAAAAGCUUAAAUUUUUUUUAUAGACGAGAAGACCCUAUAGAGUUUAAUUUUUUUUCUUUAUAUUAUUAUUUUGUAAUGGAUUAUUUUAUUAUAGUUGAAAAAUUUAAUUGGGGUGAUUAAAAAAUUUAAUAAACUUUUUUAAAUUUAAAUUAUUUAUAUAUAAAUUUUGAAUCUAAUAUUUUUAAGUUUAAUAUAAAUUACCUUAGGGAUAACAGCGUAAUUUUCUUUUGAAGUUCUUAUUUUAAGGAAA
rnacentral:rRNA from 1 species